GGGAAAAACUUUUGAAAAGAACAUUAUACACUACUACACUGUAGGAGUUUGCUGGAUGAUUUUGGCUUAGCUCUUUAUGUGAGCAGCUAGUUCUUCGUUCUCUUUUUGGCCGGUUUGUUGGCUUGAAACCAGUAUUUCAGUUAGUGAUUUACAUCCUCUUUUUAUUGGCUGUUCUGUCAAAACUCCAUGAUAACCAUUGAAAUACUACCUUAGCACAUCACCGAGAACACGGAAACCCAAGGAAGGUAGGCAGCAGAGCUGACAACAGGGCCAGCCAGCUCCUUAAUACACUCAGUCAUUUGCAUUAUGGCUGUGACUAGUCACAAUAAAAAUAAUUAUAUUCUCAUUAAAUAAGACUAUUUCUCAUAAUAGCAUAAUUUGAUUCAAAUAAGGAACUGAUCCAACAGGACCUUGGAAGGCCUGGUGCUGUUUCUCUCAAUGGCAGCUGACUUGGCAGAAGGUACACGGGAAUUUACUUCUCUGUUCCAAGCGUCGACACCACCUGUGACAUUCCUAAGAUUUCUUUUUGUAAAAAUUAAAUCUCCUGCUCUGGCUUGGAACAUUUCUACUCGUAAUGGCUACAUAUGGACACUGAGGUGGGUUUAAUAAUCUCCGAUUUUCCCCUAGUUAGCUUUUCUGUCGUUCUUUAGACAUAUUUUGUAUGAAACAAACACCAUGGGUUUUUUUUUUUCAUUUAAUUAACAUUAAAGUCAUGAGAGUAUGGCUCUCAAGAUCUUUCUAAGCUUUUUUGCCAUUAUGAAUUUUUAGAAACCUGAGUG
rnacentral:lncRNA from 1 species